rnacentral:rRNA from 2 species
CGGAGGAAAAGAAACCAACAGGGAUUACCUCAGUAACGGCGAGUGAAGCGGUAACAGCUCAAAUUUGAAAUCUGGCCUCACGGUCCGAGUUGUAAUUUGUAGAGGAUGCUUCGAGCAUGGUCUGGCCUAAGUUCCUUGGAACAGGACGUCAUAGAGGGUGAGAAUCCCGUAUGCGGCCAGGUGCCUACGCUCAUGUGAAGCUCCUUCGACGAGUCGAGUUGUUUGGGAAUGCAGCUCAAAAUGGGUGGUAAAUUUCAUCUAAAGCUAAAUAUUGGCCAGAGACCGAUAGCGCACAAGUAGAGUGAUCGAAAGAUGAAAAGCACUUUGGAAAGAGAGUUAAACAGUACGUGAAAUUGUUGAAAGGGAAGCGCUUGCAACCAGACUUGCGCGCGGCCGAUCAUCCGGUGUUCUCACCGGUGCACUCGGCCGUGCUCAGGCCAGCAUCGGUUUUGGCGGCUGGAUAAAGGCCCUAGGAAUGUAGCUCCUCUCGGGGAGUGUUAUAGCCUAGGGUGCAAUGCAGCCUGCUGGGACCGAGGACCGCGCUUCGGCUAGGAUGCUGGCGUAAUGGUUGUAAGCGGCCCGUCUUGA